rnacentral:pre_miRNA from 1 species
UUGCUCGAUGGCUCAGGUACUUAGUGACUCUCAAUGGAUUUCACAUUUUGGGAGUCGCUCUGUGCCUGUGCUGCAAGUAA